UUAUUGGAGUUUUUAGACUCCACCAAUAUAAUAAAAAAAUUAACA
rfam:Gossypium arboreum cultivar AKA8401 contig_25411_1, whole genome shotgun sequence.